UGCCUGAGUACCCAGUUUUCAAAAACGUGAACCAAGAAAAAGGAAGGUAAGCUAAAAAGGAGCAACAGAACUGGCUACCUAGCCAAACUUAAUUUGAUAAGUAAAAGAUGUUUCGUGGUAGAGGUGGAAAUCGACGUUCCUUUGAUCCGAAUUUUCGACAGGGUGGUGGAAGUCCCUAUGGUGGAAAUAAAAAGGACUUCAAUAAUUCUCCCAACAGAAAAACAGAAUGGGUUUCGUACAAAAAACAAUCUUCGAGUGCUGAUAAAGCAAGUGUUAGUGAAGAAAAAACGAAUUUUGAAGUACCAUUUGUACAAAAGAUUGAUACUGGUGUCAAGUCAGAAGAAACACAGCCUUUACUAACUCCAAAAGUUGAAGCCAAUGCAGUAGUUGUUACUCCACAAAAGAAGGUGGAGAAAGACAGAUCCCGGUCACCUAUUGUUGACAAAAAAGAUCAGAGUAAUAAAUUUACCCAUAGAGAUAGUUUAUCAGAUAAACAGAAAGUUAAUGAGUCACCUAAACAGACAAAUGACUUUAAAAGUUCAAAAUCAUUAAUUAAACAAGGUGAAAAAAAAUUCAGUGGCAGAUGUCGCUUGUUUGUAGCCAAUAUGAACAAUGGCACAACAGAAGAGGACUUAAGGGAACUCUUUGGUGAGUAUGGUGAGAUAGGAGAAGUGUAUGUAAAUAAAGAAAAGGGUUUUGGAUUUAUAAGAUUGGAUUAUCGACAUAAUGCUGAGAUGGCAAAAAGUUGUCUUGAUAAGAAACUUUUUAAGGGUCGAAACAUACAAGUUCGUUAUGCUACACAUGCUUCAGCAGUUGAAGUUCACGGUUUAGAUCAGUAUGCCUCGAACGAGUACAUAGAGCAAGCCAUGAGUCAAUUUGGUACUGUCGAAAGAGCUGUUGUAGUUUGUGAUGAUAGGGGACGGUCAAAGGGAUAUGCAAUAGUUGAAUUUGAAUGGAAAAAAUCUGCUCAAAAAGUGCUUGACAGAUUUAAAGAAGAAAUGUUUGUAUUAGGAAGGUUACCGAAGCCUAUCUUUGUGAAACCGAGAAGUCAAUUGGAUGAAGAAGAAGGUCUUCAUGAUUCAACUAUUGAAAGAUUGCCUGGUUUUCAGUCGGAACGGGAAUUUCAACCAAGAUUUAUUUCACCAAGUUCAUUUGAAUAUACAUGGGCAAAAAGAUGGAGAGAUUUGUUUAUAGAAGAAGAAGAUAAAAAGGCAAGAUUGGAACAAGAAUUGCAGGAGUCUCGUUACAGACUUGAAUUGGAAAUGGAGUCAGCUCAGAAAGAACAAGAAGCGGUAAAGAUAAGAGAAGAGCUUAUCAGACGACAAGAAGAACUUCGAAUGUUGGAGGAGGAUAUGCGAAGGCGCCAAGAAGCAAAUCUACGUACUAGGGAAGAACUUGAUAGAAAUAGAGCUAAACGGUUUGAGGAACAAAGACAUCCCAAUCAUAUUUCGAAUAGGCAAGAAGCACAGGGAGGUGGGAAUUACAUUGUUAAUGACAACGCAGCCCAGCAUGACUUUAUGAUGAACCAACAAGCUGAACUUGAAGCUCGCAGGGGAGACAUGCUAAUGGCUGCAGGAGGAGUUCAGACAUCCGUGCUUGGCAUAAGGCCUGAUAUGAUUCGUCCACCUGGCGUUCACAUUGCUGGUUUGCAAUUGCCACCUCACAUGGUAGCUAAUAUUCCUCCAGGUUUUUUACCUGGACAAAGAGGUCCCCCUCCUGGGGUCAACAUGGGUUUCAUGUACUAGAGGUAUAGUACCUGGUCAACUGUGGUUAACUUGUGCAUGCAUUUAAAGAGUGUCACAAAUUUGACUGUUAUCAGCUGUUAAAAGAUUGUGCUUUACUAGAGGUAUAGUACCUGGUCAACUGUGGUUAACUUGUGCAUGCAUUUAAAGAGUGUCACAAAUUUGACUGUUAUCAGCUGUUAAAAGAUUGUGCUUAUUGAUUAAACUUUAGAGGGAAGAUCACUAAAAUCACACUACGAGUACUCUCUACUUGGUUAUCUGGACGAUAUACGCAGCUUGCAAAUAAAUAUUGAUUUUUAUCUCGCAUAUCGUUCAAAACUUACUCACAGUUAACAUGUAAUUGGAGAACUGCAAACAGAGCUGUAAAUAUAAAUUUAUAAAAACAA